CUCUCUUCCACAUGCUAUUGGAGAGUGAGAAGAGAAGGUGCCCUCGCGCACUCCUCCUCCGCCGCCCGCCUCGCCACGCCACGCCACGCCUCGUCACGACGCGCCGCGGGUUGCGGGAAUGAGCCGAGCCGAGCUCAUACCUACGCGCUUAUUUUUGCCGGUCAGGAACGGAGAAUACGUAACGGACAAGGAAACGAUCCGAGACGUCGGAUCGUGAU
rnacentral:lncRNA from 1 species